GGUUCCCAUAUGAUCACAUAAGUUAAGCAAUGUUGAGCCUGGUCAGUAUCUGGAUAGUUGACCACUUGGGAAUACCAGGUACUGUAAGC